UACGUAGGGUGCAAGCGUUGUCCGGAAUUAUUGGGCGUAAAGAGCUCGUAGGCGGUUUGUUGCGUCGGCUGUGAAAUCCCGAGGCUCAACCUCGGGUCUGCAGUCGAUACGAGCAAACUAGAGUGUUGCAGGGGAGACUGGAAUUCCUGGUGUAGCGGUGAAAUGCGCAGAUAUCAGGAGGAACACCGGUGGCGAAGGCGGGUCUCUGGGCAACACUGACGCUGAGGAGCGAAAGCAUGGGGAGCGAACAGG
rnacentral:rRNA from 1 species